rnacentral:tRNA from 62 species
UGGUUCAAGUCCCUCUAUCCCCA